GUGAAUUUUCCGGCAGCAGGCAACAGACCACGCGUGGAGAUUUGAACCGCGGGCGACGUACAGGAUAGUCAAGGCAGACCAAAAUAGAACCAGGCCUUGGUGAUUACCUUGGCCUUAUUGAUAAUGUGUCAGACUCACAAAAACUGUUCCAUUAUGCUGUGAAGGGAGAUGACACAAGUAAUCUGCUGGGUCUUUCUGAAUGACAUGGUGUGAUGAGAUCCUUACUGAGCUUUAAUGGCACCCUCCUGCUAGGAUCUGUGACACUGCCACCACCACCACCACAUCUUUCCCAUGGACAUCACAACCAUUCCUGCACUGGCCACUAUCACUACAAAUGCCAGGACUGAAAUUUUAUCUGCAGUACCCAGCUUUGAUGGCCAAUAUAUUGUCUUCAGAAUACCUCCAGCUGCUAAGGAGAUUUAUUUCAGUGAAAAUCAUUACUGGUGAACCCUGCUCCAUAUACUACAAGAUUAUGAUUCAGCUCAUCAAAUUAGCCCUUUGGAGGGAACAGUGUAUAUUUCUGAAGACACUGUAAGGUGCAAGGACAGGGUUCCAACUCCUACCUAAAAUUCACCUUGAUUGGUAAACUCACAUGCUUUACACCAAGAGCCAUCAUAAGAGCCCAGUUUCAUGAAGCUUCUUGAAAAGUAUGUGUGAGUGAUUGUUUUAACC